rnacentral:rRNA from 1 species
CACGGAUCCAGACUUUGAUCAUGGCUCAGGACGAACGCUGGCGGCGUGCCUAACACAUGCAAGUCGAGCGGAGGUAUCCGAAGAGCAAUCUAAGGAUGCCUGAGCGGCGGACGGGUGAGUAACGCGUGAGCAACCUGCCUAUCACAGGGGGAUAACGCAGCGAAAGCUGCACUAAUACCGCAUGAGACCACAGCGGCUAUGGCUGCGGGGGUCAAAGGAGAAAUCCGGUGAGAGAUGGGCUCGCGUCCGAUUAGGUAGUUGGUGAGGUAACGGCCCACCAAGCCUAUGAUCGGUAGCCGGCCUGAGAGGGUGAACGGCCACAUUGGAACUGAGAGACGGUCCAAACUCCUACGGGAGGCAGCAGUGGGGAAUAUUGGGCAAUGGGGGAAACCCUGACCCAGCAACGCCGCGUGAGGGAAGAAGGUUUUCGGAUUGUAAACCUCUGUUCUUGGUGAAGAGAAGAAGACGGUAACCAAGGAGGAAGCCCCGGCUAACUACGUGCCAGCAGCCGCGGUAAU